rnacentral:rRNA from 1 species
GAUGAACGCUGGCGGCGUGCCUAAUACAUGCCAGUCGAGCGAACAGACGAGGAGCUUGCUCCUCUGACGUUAGCGGCGGACGGGUGAGUAACACGUGGAUAACCUACCUAUAAGACUGGGAUAACUUCGGGAAACCGGUGCUAAUACCGGAUAAUAUAUUGAACCGCAUGGUUCAAUAGUGAAAGACGGUUUUGCUGUCACUUAUAGAUGGAUCCGCGCCGCAUUAGCUAGUUGGUAAGGUAACGGCUUACCAAGGCGACGAUGCGUAGCCGACCUGAGAGGGUGAUCGGCCACACUGGAACUGAGACACGGUCCAGACUCCUACGGGAGGCAGCAGUAGGGAAUCUUCCGCAAUGGGCGAAAGCCUGACGGAGCAACGCCGCGUGAGUGAUGAAGGUCUUCGGAUCGUAAAACUCUGUUAUUAGGGAAGAACAAAUGUGUAAGUAACUAUGCACGUCUUGACGGUACCUAAUCAGAAAGCCACGGCUAACUACGUG